UACAGAGGUCUCAAGCGUUGUUCGGAUUCAUUGGGCGUAAAGGGUGUGUAGGUGGCGCGCUAAGUCGGGUGUGAAAUUUCGGAGCUUAACUCCGAAACUGCAUUCGAUACUGGGCGUGCUUGAGGACUGGAGAGGAGACUGGAAUUCAUGGUGUAGCAGUGAAAUGGCGUAGAGAUCAUGAGGAGACCAGUGGCGAAGGCGGGUCUCUGGACAGUUCCUGACACUGAGACACGAAGGCCAGGGGAGCAAACGGG
rnacentral:rRNA from 1 species